ensembl:lincRNA
UGAGAGACCAAAGUUUCCAGGGCCUUUGUCUUUAGAGCAAGGGUCUUAAACCUUAGUGAGCAAAAACUGACCCAGAAGACUUGUUGGAGGCAUAGCUUUCAGUUCAGCAAGCCUAUUUCAACAGGUUGGAGGUGGGCCCAGGGCUCUGCAUUUUCCCAGCUCUCUGGAGGAUUCAGAUGCAGGUAGUCCAUGACCACAAGGGGAUGCUGCUCUUCCAAAGCUGGGCUGGAGAAUCAGAACUGGCAACUGCCUGGGCCCAGAGCUGCCAGCCAUGGGGCAGGUCCACCAGAGACUGAUGAAGGAUAGAGGAAGAAGAAAGGGAAAGGAAGAGGGAACCUCAGAGAGGAUUAGGGUGGGAAAUGGAAAAAGAGAAACUCCAAGGUGUGCAAAAGAGAAAAGGGAUGCCUCUCUAAGAAGGCCAAUCCCCUGACUGCAACAUGUGCUGAUCUCCAAGGGUGAGGCUGGAUGAAGCCAAGGGCUGUAGAAAAGGAGACUGAUUCAUAGAACUUGACACCAUCUUUAGUAGUUUCCCUGGUUCUUGGCAGCUCCUUUUGGCUGUGUCCUAUCCUGCACAACCCUCCCAGCUAGUCUACUCCGGGGCAGCGUCCAGCUGGUGACCUGAGUGGGCAGCGGUGCACCAGUCUCCAUGAAAGUUGAGCUCGGAUGGCCAAUAGCAAUUUCCACCUCGCGGUCUACAACUCUUCAUCCUGAUUGCAUGGAGACUGGUCUCUCUCUUCAGCUGGAUUUAGGCCACCGUCUGAGCCCUGAGGCAUUCACCUGGUUCCUGGGUCUUUUGUGCUGUUGCCCUAUAUGUCUAGCUACUUCUAGAAAAAAAUCUUUCUGGAGGCCCAAUGAGCUUGUCACAUCAGCCUGUCCAGAGAUCCUCACCAGCAGGGCAAAGUGCAACUGUGGCCAGCUCAUGCCUUCAAGAGAAGGAUCGAAGGUCAUUGUGUUCCUGAACCAAGUAAGUCUAACUGCUCCUUCAUCGGCUCACCCAAAACUAUAGGAGCUUUCUAAGACCACUUUCCCAUGGCUCUGGGAAUUCCUCCACGCUUGAACUCUGGUCUAGUUUCCCCAGUUUAUAUCCUAUGCUUCAUACCAAGAUCUUCCCACUUUGCCUAUCCUAUAAGAAGUAGUGGCCAGGUUGAACUUUCUGAUGAGUUUUGGAGGUUGCUUCUUGGCUCACCCUUGGUACCUUGGUCUACUAGUCACAGGUAAGCUCUACAAAGUCUAGGUGACUGGGACACUGCAACCCACCCCAGACCCAACACUAUGGCCUUCUACUGGUUAGGCACAGCAUCCAGAUGAGAUUUCUAGUGCCCAUAAUAAAGAUGAUGAGGUUUGCAAAUAUGAAGUUCGCUGGCAACUUCUUAUAGUUCAUAAGAAAUAUUUAUAGUUUGCUCAUUCAUUGAGUCAUCCAACAAGUAUUUAUAGAGACCACCAAGUACCAUAUACAUUCUGUAAUGUUAGGGAUAUAGCAGGGAAAAUGUCAGACAAGGUUUCUGCUCAUCGAAUCUGUAUUCUACUGUUGGAGGAAAAGAGAUAGCAUCAAUAAUUGUCUAUGAUCUUAAAUGUCUGAAGACAAUUAGCUGUAUAAGAUGUAAGUGACUGAGAGAGAGGGCUAUUUUAGACAAAAUGCUCAAGGAAUUAGCUCUGGAAAUAUGACAUUUAAACAAAGAUCUGAAUGACAAGAAGACAGCAUGCCAAUUUUGGUGGGCAGAGUAUAGUGGGUAGAGAGACCAGCAAAAGUACAAAAGCCUAAAGUGAAAAUAAACUUGGAUGGGUUUGAAGGACAGGAAGAGAACAAUGUGGCUAGAUUUGAUCAGCAAAGAGGUGAAUAAGAGGAAAUUAAGUCAAAUGGGAAGACACAGACUAGAUCAUGUAAGGCCUCAGUAAGUGAUAUGGUUUGGCUGUGUCCCCACCCAAAAUCUCAUCUUGAACUGUAGUUCCCAUCAUUCCCACUGUGAGAGGGACUCAGUUGGAGGUAAUUGAAUCAUGGGGGUUAUUACCCCUAUGCUGCUGUUCUCGUGAUAGUGAGUGAGUUCUCAUGAAAUCUGUUGGUUUUAUAAGGCAUUUUCCCCUCUUUUUCUCAGCACUUCUCUCUUGCCUGCCACCAUAUAAGACAUGCCUUUGCUUCUCCUUCUGCCAUGAUUGUGAGGCCUCCCCACCCUUGUAGAACUGUGAGUCCAUUAAACCUCUUUUCCCUUUUAAAUUACCCAGUCUCAGUUAUGUCUUUAUUAGCAUGAGAACAAACUAAUACAGUAAGUUUGCAUAAGAUAUUUGCACUUCCCUUUGAAAGCAAUUGGAAGCUGUGCUCUGCAUACCCAGAAUAAAAGUAAGAUUGGAAACCAUGGUGAUUGAAGACCUAUUGGGAGUGGAGACUUGAGCCCUGAGGGAGAUAGUGACUGCAAAGUUUCUCAGAUUCUCUGCAUCUGGGGAUGAUAUCUGGAUGGGAUGCCUGGCCCCUAAGGCUAGUGAGGAGUUCAAAGAAGAAGGAGCAGAAAUUGAUUCAGGGGAGACUAAGCAGAGACUCAAUAUUCUGUAAGUGCUCCUAGAGGGGAAGGGUUAGAGAGGUUGGUAGAGGGGUCCAGGAUUGCAGAAAGCUGGAGAUUCCAGCUCUAAGACAAUGCUAUUUUAGCCUCAAGACAGAGGCACGAUUAUAUGUUGCAACAAUGAAGUCAUUUUGAAGAAGCAAAAAUACUCAGUGCAAUGGACUGAAUGUUAGUGUAUUUCCCAAAUUCAUAUGUUGAACCCUAACUCCCUAUGUGAUGGGAUUAGGAGGUAAAGCCAUUUGGAGUUAAUGAGGGUGGGGUUCUCAGGAAUAGGAUUGGUGCUCUUAUUAAAGGGACCCCAGAGCACUCUCUUACCCUCAUUCCAUCAUGUGAGGAUAUAAGAAGUCUGCCAUAUACAACCUGGAAAGAGCCCUCACCAGAACCUGACCAUGCUGACACCUUGAUCUUGGACUUCCAGGCUCCAGAACUGGGAGAAAUAAAUUUCUGUUGUUUGCAUGUCAACCAGUCUAUGUGGUAUUUUGUUGUGGCAGCCCAAAUGGGCCAAAACACCCA